UGAACGCUGGCGGCGUGCCUAAUACAUGCAAGUCGAGCGAACGGACGAGAAGCUUGCUUCUCUGAUAUUAGCGGCGGACGGGUGAGUAACACGUGGAUAACCUACCUAUAAGACUGGGAUAACUUCGGGAAACCGUAGCUAAUACCGGAUAAUAUUUUGAACCGCAUGGUUCAAAAGUGAAAGACGGUCUUGCUGUCACUUAUAGAUGGAUCCGCGCUGCAUUAGCUAGUUGGUAAGGUAACGGCUUACCAAGGCAACGAUGCAUAGCCGACCUGAGAGGGUGAUCGUCCACACUGGAACUGAGACACGGUCCAGACUCCUACGGGAGGCAGCAGUAGGGAAUCUUCCGCAAUGGGCGAAAGCCUGACGGAGCAACGCCGCGUGAGUGAUGAAGGUCUUCGGAUCGUAAAACUCUGUUAUUAGGGAAGAACAUAUGUGUAAGUAACUGUGCACAUCUUGACGGUACCUAAUCAGAAAGCCACGGCUAACUACGUG
rnacentral:rRNA from 1 species